AGCUAGGAGUACGUGUCUGCAUGUACGGGGAGGUAACCGCGGUGCACCAGUAGUACAUUGUACAUAUAAACAAGGAGUAUCCUGGCGCAAUGGAAGCCCAGAUCAGUGCCAUCCUCCAUCACGAGGUAGAAGAAGCCUGAGGACUACCCUCGGCCGGCGAUCGACAGAGCAAGAUGAGGACGCCGCGGGGUGUCUCGUCGUCGUUCCUUGCCCUCUACGGGUUCCUUCUCCUCGUCGCCGUCUCGGUGGCCGCGACCGGCUACGCCGCUUCGCCGGGGGAGAGUUCCAACGGUUACGGCGCUGCAGCCGGUUCGAACGGCGGCGGCCAGGAGGGAAGCUACACGGUGCCGCCGUACCAGAAGUCCGUGGACGGCCUCGACGAGCGGUACUACGAGAGGUCGUGCCCGAAAAUGGAGGAGAUCGUCGGGACGGCCGUGAUGAAGGCCGUGAAAGCCGACGAGACCCUCGCCGCCAGCAUCAUCCGCCUCUUCUUCCACGACUUCGCCGUCGGGGGCGUGGACGGGUCGGUCCUGGUAGACGUGCCCGGGCAGAGCGAGAAGUACGCGGAGGCGAGCAGGACGCUGCGCGGGUUCGAGCUGAUCGAGGGGAUCAAGAAGGAGGUGGAGGCCAAGUGCCGCGCCACCGUCUCCUGCGCCGACAUCCUCACCGCCGCCGCUCGCGACGCCGCCUUCUCGGCCGGGGCGCCCUACUGGUCGCUCAAGUACGGGCGCAGGGACAGGAAGGACUACUCCAGCGCCGAGGCGGCCGACCGCGACGUCCCCAUGGGCGGCCAGCGCGUCACCGAGCUCGUCGCCUUCUUCGAUACGAAGGGUCUCAACAUCCAAGACCUCGUCGCGCUUUCCGGAGCUCACACGAUCGGGCGCGCGACGUGCGGAUCCGUGAGGCCGGGGCUGUGCAAGCGCCGGAAGGCACGCACGCUGGACCGGCAGUACGGCGACUUCCUGCAGCGCAAGUGCCGCGCCGGCGGCGACGCGGCGGAGGCGUACGUGGAGCUGGACGGCGAGACGCCCACGGCGUUCGACAACCAGUACUACAAGAACCUGCUGCACGGGAAGGGGCUGCUGGACACGGACCAGGCGCUGCUGGCGGACUCCCGGACGGCCGGGUUCGUCAAGUCGUUCGCGUACCAGAAGCCCCAGGAGUUCGCCCACCAGUUCGCCAAGUCCAUGCGCCGCCUCGGCGAGGCGCAGGUGCUCACCGGGAACGAGGGCGAGGUCCGCCGCAAGUGCUCGGCCGUCAACUACUAAUGAACCAUCGUCAUGCACGACCGAUCGUACUAUUUCAGGCUUGUUGGGGGCCAUGCAUGUCCGACAGUGUGGGCUGCGAGCUAAACGUUUUUUUUGGGGGAACCAUGUGUAUUUUGUGAUACUACCAAUGUGUGGUGAGGUUGUUGAGCAAGAGUUUUUCACGGAAGAGGUUAGUGUUGAUUUUUUUUUUCUUCUUCAGGCGACUAAUUAUCUAUGUGACGAAAUGAAACGCACGGAUUCCGUAGAAG
rnacentral:misc_RNA from 1 species